CCAAUAGCGUAUAUUAAAGUUGUUGCAGUUAAAAAGCUCGUAGUUGAAUUUUGGAUUCUACCAAUCGGUCCAUCUUUUGAUGAGUACUGGUUGUGUGGGGUCUAUCCGCCUGGUAAUACGUAAUGUCCUUUAUUGGAUGUUGCGGGUAGUCAGGACCUUUACCUUGAAAAAAUUAGAGUGUUUAAAGCAGGCUUAUGCCGGAAUACAUUAGCAUGGAAUAAUAGAAUAGGACGAAGUUGUUUUAUUUUGUUGGUUUCUAGGACAACCGUAAUGAUUAAUAGGGAUAGUUGGGGGCAUUAGUAUUCAAUUGUCAGAGGUGAAAUUCUUGGAUUUAUUGAAGACUAACUACUGCGAAAGCAUUUGCCAAGGAUGUUUUCAUUAAUCAAGAACGAAAGUUAGGGGAUCGAAGACGAUCAGAUACCGUCGUAGUCUUAACCAUAAACUAUGCCGACUAGGGAUCGGAUGAUGUUAAUUUUUUAAUGACUCAUUCGGCGCCUUACG
rnacentral:misc_RNA from 1 species